rnacentral:rRNA from 1 species
UGCAGAAUCCCGUGAACCAUCGAGUCUUUGAACGCAAGUUGCGCCCAAGGCCAUUAGGCCGAGGGCACGUCUGCCUGGGCGUC